rnacentral:rRNA from 1 species
AGUGAACGCUGGCGGUAGGCCUAACACAUGCAAGUCGAACGGCAGCACAGUAAGAGCUUGCUCUUACGGUUGGCGAGUGGCGGACGGGUGAGGAAUACAUCGGAAUCUACUUUUUCGUGGGUGAUAACGUAGGGAAACUUACGCUAAUACCGCAUACUACCUACGGGUGAAAUCAGGGGAUCUUCGGACCUUUCGCGAUUGAAUGAGCCGAUUUCGGAUUAGCUAGUUGGCGGGGUAAAGGCCCACCAAGGCGACGAUCCGUAGCUGGUCUGAGAGGAUGAUCAGCCACACUGGAACUGAGACACGGUCCAGACUCCUACGGGAGGCAGCAGUGGGGAAUAUUGGACAAUGGGCGAAAGCCUGAUCCAGCCAUACCGCGUGGGUGAAGAAGGCCUUCGGGUUGUAAAGCCCUUUUGUUGGGAAAGAAAAGCAGCAGGUUAAUACCCCGCUGUUCUGACGGUACCCAAAGAAUAAGCACCGGCUAACUUCGUG